rnacentral:rRNA from 1 species
CACGUAGGGCGCAAGCGUUGUCCGGAAUUAUUGGGCGUAAAGCGCUCGUAGGCGGUCUGUUGCGUCCGCUGUGAAAACUCGGGGCUUAACCCCGAGCCUGCAGUGGAUACGGGCAGACUAGAGGUAGGUAGGGGAGAAUGGAAUUCCCGGUGUAGCGGUGAAAUGCGCAGAUAUCGGGAGGAACACCGGUGGCGAAGGCGGGUCUCUGGGCCGAUACUGACGCUGAGGAGCGAAAGCGUGGGGAGCGAACAGG